rnacentral:ncRNA from 1 species
GGGUGUGGUGCAGGGCGCGCUGCAGGCUUCAGGGAAGGUCGGGCCGCUUCCC